rnacentral:rRNA from 1 species
AAUCCAUAGGUUAAUGAGGCGAACCGGGGGAACUGAAACAUCUAAGUACCCCGAGGAAAAGAAAUCAACCGAGAUUCCCCCAGUAGCGGCGAGCGAACGGGGAGGAGCCCAGAGCCUGAAUCAGCAUGUGUGUUAGUGGAAGCGUCUGGAAAGGCGCGCGAUACAGGGUGACAGCCCCGUACACAAAAGCGCAUGUGCUGUGAGCUCGAUGAGUAGGGCGGGACACGUGGUAUCCUGUCUGAAUAUGGGGGGACCAUCCUCCAAGGCUAAAUACUCCUGACUGACCGAUAGUGAACCAGUACCGUGAGGGAAAGGCGAAAAGAACCCCGGCGAGGGGAGUGAAAAAGAACCUGAAACCGUGUACGUACAAGCAGUGGGAGCACCCUUUGGGGUGUGACUGCGUACCUUUUGUAUAAUGGGUCAGCGACUUAUAUUCUGUAGCAAGGUUAACCGUAUAGGGGAGCCGUAGGGAAACCGAGUCUUAACCGGGCGUUAAGUUGCAGGGUAUAGACCCGAAACCCGGUGAUCUAGCCAUGGGCAGGUUGAAGGUUGGGUAACACUAACUGGAGGACCGAACCGACUAAUGUUGAAAAAUUAGCGGAUGACCUGUGGCUGGGGGUGAAAGGCCAAUCAAACCGGGAGAUAGCUGGUUCUCCCCGAAAGCUAUUUAGGUAGCGCCUCGUGAAUUCAUCUCCGGGGGUAGAGCACUGUUUCGGCUAGGGGGCCAUCCCGGCUUACCAACCCGAUGCAAACUGCGAAUACCGGAGAAUGUUAUCACGGGAGACACACGGCGGGUGCUAACGUCCGUCGUGAAGAGGGAAACAACCCAGACCGCCAGCUAAGGUCCCAAAGUCAUGGUUAAGUGGGAAACGAUGUGGGAAGGCCCAGACAGCCAGGAUGUUGGCUUAGAAGCAGCCAUCAUUUAAAGAAAGCGUAAUAGCUCACUGGUCGAGUCGGCCUGCGCGGAAGAUGUAACGGGGCUAAACCAUGCACCGAAGCUGCGGCAGCGAACGUAUCACCCAAGACAACUUUACGGAGUUGACGAUUGACGGAGCGAAGCGACGUCAAAGCGUUCAUUAAAGUCGAGUUGGCUUAGGGAUACGUU